rnacentral:rRNA from 1 species
UGACGAGUGGCGGACGGGUGAGUAAUGUCUGGGAAACUGCCUGAUGGAGGGGGAUAACUACUGGAAACGGUAGCUAAUACCGCAUAACGUCGCAAGACCAAAGAGGGGGACCUUCGGGCCUCUUGCCAUCAGAUGUGCCCAGAUGGGAUUAGCUAGUAGGUGGGGUAACGGCUCACCUAGGCGACGAUCCCUAGCUGGUCUGAGAGGAUGACCAGCCACACUGGAACUGAGACACGGUCCAGACUCCUACGGGAGGCAGCAGUGGGGAAUAUUGCACAAUGGGCGCAAGCCUGAUGCAGCCAUGCCGCGUGUAUGAAGAAGGCCUUCGGGUUGUAAAGUACUUUCAGCGGGGAGGAAGGUGUUGUGGUUAAUAACCACAGCAAUUGACGUUACCCGCAGAAGAAGCACCGGCUAACUCCGUGCCAGCAGCCGCGGUAAUACGGAGGGUGCAAGCGUUAAUCGGAAUUACUGGGCGUAAAGCGCACGCAGGCGGUCUGUCAAGUCGGAUGUGAAAUCCCCGGGCUCAACCUGGGAACUGCAUUCGAAACUGGCAGGCUGGAGUCUUGUAGAGGGGGGUAGAAUUCCAGGUGUAGCGGUGAAAUGCGUAGAGAUCUGGAGGAAUACCGGUGGCGAAGGCGGCCCCCUGGACAAGACUGACGCUCAGUGCGAAAGCGUGGGAGCAACAGGAUUAGAUACUGUAGUCACGCCGUAAACGAUGUCGAUUUGGAGGUUGUGCCCUUGAGGCGUGGCUUCCGGAGCUAACGCGUUAAAUCGACCGCCUGGGGAGUACGGCCGCAAGGUUAAAACUCAAAUGAAUUGACGGGGGCCCGCACAAGCGGUGGAGCAUGUGGUUUAAUUCGAUGCAACGCGAAGAACCUUACCUGGUCUUGACAUCCACAGAACUUUCCAGAGAUGGAUUGGUGCCUUCGGGAACUGUGAGACAGGUGCUGCAUGGCUGUCGUCAGCUCGUGUUGUGAAAUGUUGGGUUAAGUCCCGCAACGAGCGCAACCCUUAUCCUUUGUUGCCAGCGGUUAGGCCGGGAACUCAAAGGAGACUGCCAGUGAUAAACUGGAGGAAGGUGGGGAUGACGUCAAGUCAUCAUGGCCCUUACGACCAGGGCUACACACGUGCUACAAUGGCGCAUACAAAGAGAAGCGACCUCGCGAGAGCAAGCGGACCUCAUAAAGUGCGUCGUAGUCCGGAUUGGAGUCUGCAACUCGACUCCAUGAAGUCGGAAUCGCUAGUAAUCGUAGAUCAGAA